rnacentral:rRNA from 1 species
UAGACCGCGCACGCGUAAUCCAGCCUGCCGGCGAUGGCAUCGUCCGCCGGUCGCCUCGGAAACGGCGUGCGUGCCGGGGGCGAAUCUUGUGCAAAACCAUAACGACUCUCGGCAACGGAUAUCUCGGCUCUCGCAUCGAUGAAGAACGUAGCGAAAUGCGAUACUUGGUGUGAAUUGCAGAAUCCCGCGAAUCAUCGAGUCUUUGAACGCAAGUUGCGCCCGAAGCCAUCUGGUCGAGGGCACGUCUGCCUGGGUGUCACGCAUCGUUGCCCCCAACCCCAUCGCCUCUCCAAGAGACGAGGGCGGUCUGCGGGGCGGACAUUGGCCUCCCGUGAGCUUUCGCUCGCGGCUGGCCUAAAAGCGAGUCCUCGGCGACGAGCGCCACGACAAUCGGUGGUUGACAAACCCUCGUGUCCCGUCGUGCGCGGCUCGUCGCUCGUCUUGUGCUCUGUGACCCUGUAGCGUCGCGCUCGCGACUCUUCCAACGCGACCCCAGGUCAGGCGGGACUACCCGCUGAA